rnacentral:misc_RNA from 1 species
AGCAGCCGCGGUAAUUCCAGCUCCAAUAGCGUAUAUUAAAGUUGUUGCAGUUAAAAAGCUCGUAGUUGAAUUUCGGGAUCAAUAUGUUGGUCGUGCCUUGGUACGUACUGGCAUUAUCGAUUCCUACCUUCUGAAGAACCUCGAUGUCAUUAAUUUGGUGUCUUGGGGAAUCAGGACUGUUACUUUGAAAAAUUAGAGUGUUUAAAGCAGGCUCGCGCUUGAAUACAUUAGCAUGGAAUAAUGAAAUAGGACGUUUGAUUCUAUUUUGUUGGUUUCUAGGAUCGACGUAAUGAUUAAUAGGGAUAGUUGGGGGCAUUAGUAUUUAAUUGUCAGAGGUGAAAUUCUUGGAUUUAUUGAAGACUAACUACUGCGAAAGCAUUUGCCAAGGAUGUUUUCAUUAAUCAAGAACGAAAGUUAGGGGAUCGAAGACGAUCAGAUACCGUCGUAGUCUUAACCAUAAACUAUGCCGACUAGGGAUCGGAUGGAU